CUGGAGACGGCGAACGCGGCCUUGGCGAUUGUUGCGCCCGUGUCGCCUCAGCCGCCCGGCGAACGCGGCCUUGGCGAUUGUUGCGCCCGUGUCGCCUCAGCCGCCCGGCGAACGCGGCCUUGGCGAUUGUUGCGCCCGUGUCGCCUCAGCCGCCCGGCGAACGCGGCCUUGGCGAUUGUUGCGCCCGUGUCGCCUCAGCCGCCCGGCGAACGCGGCCUUGGCGAUUGUUGCGCCCGUGUCGCCUCAGCCGCCCGGCGAACGCGGCCUUGGCGAUUGUUGCGCCCGUGUCGCCUCAGCCGCCCGGCGAACGCGGCCUUGGCGAUUGUUGCGCCGGUGUCGCCUCAGCCGCCCGGCGAACGCGCUCCUGACAGGCUGCUCGCAGCCUGAGCUAGCGCAUGCGGGCGGCUACGCUGGGCGAUUCGCCAAGUGAAUGUUCGCAGAGAAUUGGUCUCUGAGAGCGAGUCUUGAAUUUCGUUUGAAGCUUUUUUGAGGCACAGUCGCUGAUAUUCACGACAUUGUCCAAAAUGGCUUCUGAAUUCCUGAAAAAGACAUCAGCACCCGGACGUCUUUUGUCCAGGGUAAAAAUGAAGACUCAAAGUCUGCUUCCCCCUCUGUUCCAGAGGGAGAAGUCUCUCAACAAGGAGGCCAGCACUGGGGAGUGUAGUCUGCCCAGAAUUGGCCCAUUUCUAGACAAGAGUGAGACUAGACCAAAGGUAGCCUUUUCCUGCUCUUUUCCUUGCUGUUUGAUGCGAGGUUUGUAGAGGGUGUGUGCUUGUGACAGACUUGCUUCCAGCAAAAUACCUCAGUGUCCAGGUCCUGUUGUCAUUGCAAACUGCUGGUAAUGGUGGAGUUGAAGUCCUGAUCUGCACUAAGCCAACACAAAUAACCUCUGCUGAAGCUG